rnacentral:rRNA from 1 species
GACGAACGCUGGCGGCGUGCUUAACACAUGCAAGUCGAACGGAAAGGCCCUGCUUUUGUGGGGUGCUCGAGUGGCGAACGUGUGAGUAACACGUGCGUAACCUGCCCUUGACUUUGGGAUAACUUCAGGAAACUGGGGCUAAUACCGGAUAGGAGCUCCUGCUGCAUGGUGGGGGUUGGAAAGUUUCGGCGGUUGGGGAUGGACUCGCGGCUUAUCAGCUUGUUGGUGGGGUAGUGGCUUACCAAGGCUUUGACGGGUAGCCGGCCUGAGAGGGUGACCGGCCACAUUGGGACUGAGAUACGGCCCAGACUCCUACGGGAGGCAGCAGUGGGGAAUAUUGCACAAUGGGCGGAAGCCUGAUGCAGCAACGCCGCGUGCGGGAUGACGGCCUUCGGGUUGUAAACCGCUUUCGCCUGUGACGAAGCGUGAGUGACGGUAAUGGAUAAAGAAGCACCGGCUAACUACGUG